AUGGAUGCAGUAGAGAGCCGUCCAUCAACCACAUCGUGAUCAUGUGCAGGGACUCCUUGGCAUUCUUGUUCAUGUUAAAUCUCACAAGCCGGUGCACGCUCAACAAUAUUAUAUAUUGGUACACAAGAGGUUAAGGAAAUGGAAUAAGGUUCUUGCGUUGCUGUAUUUUGUCUUCGGCUAUUUGGAUUUUAUUCUGUGCACGUUAGUGCUCUCUGAUACAGCGAUACUACAGCUAGAUCAGUGACUGUAAAUAUGGGAAUUUUGAUCAUAUACUUUUUAGUGGUUCUGUAGAUAAAAAAACGGACAUCAUUCAUGGUUCUUGGUACUGUACUGAACAUAAUUUUGUUUUAAACUUCUUCGCAGACGUUUAUUCCAAUCGUAAUUGGAACGAAGUUUGAUCACCUGGUGAAGCUUCCUCUUCAGAUGCAAUGGACCAUUGUUAUUUGUUAAUGAGGGUUGUUUCAUUUGGUUUAGAGGAUCAAUAUUAAUUGUGAUACACACUUGGAAGAGAUUAUUUAGGGCCUUCUUAUGAUACAUCCUUGGAAAGGUAUUUUUUGUUAGAGGGUACAUCUGAACAUAUAUUUGGUGAUUUAGGACUCAUUGUUCGAUAUUCUUUAGGUCAGUGUAACUAAAUUUUUUGC